UUAAGCAUAUCAAUAAGCGGAGGAAAAGAAACCAACAGGGAUUGCCUCAGUAACGGCGAGUGAAGCGGCAAGAGCUCAAAUUUGAAAGCUGGCUCCUUCGGGGUCCGCAUUGUAAUUUGCAGAGGAUGCUUCGGGAGCGGCCCCCAUCUAAGUGCCCUGGAACGGGCCGUCAUAGAGGGUGAGAAUCCCGUCUGGGAUGGGGUGCCCGCGCCCGUGUGAAGCUCCUUCGACGAGUCGAGUUGUUUGGGAAUGCAGCUCUAAAUGGGUGGUAAAUUUCAUCUAAAGCUAAAUACUGGCCGGAGACCGAUAGCGCACAAGUAGAGUGAUCGAAAGAUGAAAAGCACUUUGAAAAGAGAGUUAAACAGCACGUGAAAUUGUUGAAAGGGAAGCGCUUGCGACCAGACUCGCUCGCGGGGUUCAGCCGGCCUUCGGGCCGGUGUACUUCCCCGCGGGCGGGCCAGCGUCGGUUUGGGCGGCCGGUCAAAGGCCCUCGGAAUGUAACGCCCCCCGGGGCGUCUUAUAGCCGAGGGUGCCAUGCGGCCAGCCCGGACCGAGGAACGCGCUUCGGCUCGGACGCUGGCAUAAUGGUCGUAAGCGACC
rnacentral:rRNA from 1 species